rnacentral:lncRNA from 1 species
UGAUUUCCAAGCUCUUGCAUUGCAAAAGAUGUUUUGACGGAUGCCUUCUCCAAACUUGUUGCAAGAGUUCAAGAAAUUUCAUGUUGAAUAACUUGAAUGAGAUGAUUCUAAUUUAAUUUUGUUUAUUGUCUUUUCAAGCAUAUAUUGCAAUUAGUAUUUGAUAUAAAGACAAAACAUAAUUAGAUUUCUCUAUUGAAUAGCCACACUUGUGUAUUUCUGCAAGACAAUAUUGAUGAAUGUUUUGGAAUUUAUUA